rnacentral:snoRNA from 1 species
AAUCAAGUGAUGAGAAAAAAACUGCAACAAUAUGAUGGAUUCUAUCCAUGAUUCAUGGUAUUUAAGUCUCUGAUGAUU